CCUUCACCGCCAAGCAUUUUGAAGACAAAUUCUUAUCCAACUUCCAUUCUUUUCCUUCUUCAAUUUGCAGAGAACAUUUAAGAGAGAUUUUGGAAGAAGAAGAGGAAUUUUACUAGAAUUUUGAGGUUGAAGAAGAGGAGGAGAACUCAAGCAAAGUGUAUCCGUGGCUGAAUUUUAGUUCAUUCUGUACAUCACUGGUUUUUAAUUCGAUUUGAACUCUUCAAAAAGAAUUAAGAGGGCAGUUGGUUUUCACUCAAAAUCAAGAGGUCUCUUGUUUUUCUUGUAUUUCAGAGUGUACCGGUGGAGUUAGAAUCUCUAUUUGAUAUGGUUGGAAGGCUUAUUCAAUUUACUACAGCUUCCAUGAAGAAAGCGUGAAUCAAAAACGACUAAACAUCAGUUAAAUUUUAGGGACAAGUUAAAGAGGUUGUGUGUGCGCGAUUCUGGAAGUGGUUCUGUUUCGAGGGUUAUCUGAGUUUAUGCACGGGGAAUCAGAUUUAUAGAUCUUCAGGUUGUUGGCAGGCCGAGAAGAAUUAAACCGAGCUUAUAGACCAAUGAUCUAGCCCAAGACGGUAGUCGAGUUUCCGGUGCCUGAUAGACUGCCUUAGUCUGCUGAAGCUCCAUUAUCGAUUGCCAGGAUUUAACUUGAUUAUUAGAUGUUUUAAAAUCUAAAGGCAACAAAAAUGUGGCAUAUUUGUCUGAAAUUGAGACAAUUGGGUAGCCAUAUAACAAUAUGCAAACUCAAAAUCAUCAUCUGUUGCAGCAAAUAACUGAGAGAGAUGACUAUAACAUUAAGGUUAUGGAAUCCAAGUUUGUAUUUGAAGCCAAGUUCAUACAAGGAAACUUAGACACGAUUUUCUAGGAUUCAACACCUGUACUUUCCACCAAACUAUGGUAAAAGUACGGGUAAAAUUCAAAUUUCUUUUGUCGAGGCAAAUCUAGGGAUCGAGGUUUACAUUGAAGUUUUCAAACUGAACAAAGUGGUAAUGGUCGGGCAUUUAGAAGAGAAGGCAAAUGAAAAUUAGGAGGGAUUUUAAAAAACUCUCGACACUUAUCAAUAAGUGUUGGGAGUUCACCCAAACUGCUGACCCAUUAUUGGUAGCGUCGACAAUUCCAGCAACAACUCCCUACACAUCAAGGGAGCAUCAUGAGAUAUUAUAAAACUCAACGCUUUAUAUUAUGCGUUGGGAGAUGCCCUAUCUUUCGAUGCCAUUUCUCCCAACGGUAUGGAGCUAUGUUAGAAGAUCCAAAAUUUCUUAUAGUGGUUGAGUAAAUAAUCGUAUUUGUUGGCUUCGCACCGUGUCUUGGACAAAGAGUAGGUGGUCUAAGAGGGGGUAUGACACCAUCACACCUCGAGACGUAGUUGGUAUAUCACCAAACUGGGUCCAACCGAUCGAUGUGUUUCUUUCACUUUUACUUGUAAAGUUUUGCUUUAACCGAUCGAUGUGUUUCUUUCACUUUUACUUGUUAUUGUUUUGCUUUUUCCAGUUAUUGACUAUAUGCUUUCUGUUUGACAGCUGUGAGUGUUUGGCGAG